rnacentral:rRNA from 1 species
GUUACAGGCUUAACACAUGCAAGUCGAGGGGCAGCAUUUCAGUUUGCUUGCAAACUGGAGAUGGCGACCGGCGCACGGGUGAGUAACACGUAUCCAACCUGCCGAUAACUCGGGGAUAGCCUUUCGAAAGAAAGAUUAAUACCCGAUGGCAUAAUUAGACCGCAUGGUCUUAUUAUUAAAGAAUUUCGGUUAUCGAUGGGGAUGCGUUCCAUUAGGCAGUUGGUGAGGUAACGGCUCACCAAACCUUCGAUGGAUAGGGGUUCUGAGAGGAAGGUCCCCCACAUUGGAACUGAGACACGGUCCAAACUCCUACGGGAGGCAGCAGUGAGGAAUAUUGGUCAAUGGGCGCAGGCCUGAACCAGCCAAGUAGCGUGAAGGAUGACUGCCCUAUGGGUUGUAAACUUCUUUUAUAUGGGAAUAAAGUUUUCCACGUGUGGAAUUUUGUAUGUACCAUAUGAAUAAGGAUCGGCUAACUCCGUGCCAGCAGCCGCGGUAAUACGGAGGAUCCGAGCGUUAUCCGGAUUUAUUGGGUUUAAAGGGAGCGUAGGUGGACAGUUAAGUCAGUUGUGAAAGUUUGCGGCUCAACCGUAAAAUUGCAGUUGAUACUGGCUGUCUUGAGUACAGUAGAGGUGGGCGGAAUUCGUGGUGUAGCGGUGAAAUGCUUAGAUAUCACGAAGAACUCCGAUUGCGAAGGCAGCUCACUGGACUGCAACUGACACUGAUGCUCGAAAGUGUGGGUAUCAAACAGGAUUAGAUACCCUGGUAGUCCACACAGUAAACGAUGAAUACUCGCUGUUUGCGAUAUACAGUAAGCGGCCAAGCGAAAGCAUUAAGUAUUCCACCUGGGGAGUACGCCGGCAACGGUGAAACUCAAAGGAAUUGACGGGGGCCCGCACAAGCGGAGGAACAUGUGGUUUAAUUCGAUGAUACGCGAGGAACCUUACCCGGGCUUAAAUUGCAUUUGAAUAAUCUGGAAACAGGUUAGCCGCAAGGCAAAUGUGAAGGUGCUGCAUGGUUGUCGUCAGCUCGUGCCGUGAGGUGUCGGCUUAAGUGCCAUAACGAGCGCAACCCUUAUCUUUAGUUACUAACAGGUCAUGCUGAGGACUCUAGAGAGACUGCCGUCGUAAGAUGUGAGGAAGGUGGGGAUGACGUCAAAUCAGCACGGCCCUUACGUCCGGGGCUACACACGUGUUACAAUGGGGGGUACAGAAGGCAGCUACCUGGUGACAGGAUGCUAAUCCCAAAAGCCUCUCUCAGUUCGGAUCGAAGUCUGCAACCCGACUUCGUGAAGCUGGAUUCGCUAGUAAUCGCGCAUCAGCCAUGGCGCGGUGAAUACGUUCCCGGGCCUUGUACACACCGCCCGUCAAGCCAUGAAAGCCGGGGGUACCUGAAGUACGUAACCGCAAGGAGCGUCCUAGGGUAAAACUGGUAA